GAGUAUUUUUGAAGAGAGGAAACCCCACCCUGGUUCGAACUCCCGGUUUGAGACUGUGAGAAUUGUUCGUUGUGUUUCUGUGGUAAAGCUAAACUGUAGAAGCUGUUAAAGUCAAACAGAGAUGAGAAGGCGGUCUUGUCACUCUGACUUGCAGUCGCUCCACAGUUGCUUCGCUUCUGAUAACAUGGCCGAGUCAAAUUGGAGAAUUGUCAUGCUGGGGAAAACUGGAGUUGGGAAAAGCAGCGUGGCUAACACCAUAUUUGGAGAAGAACUGUUCAAAUUAAUAGUACUGCCGAUUCAGAAACAAGAAAAUGUCAAGCAGAAACCAGAUCUGUCCAUGGAAGAAGCAUCACUCUGAUCGACACUCCUGGUUUAUUCAACACAGAUGAAUCAGAGGAAUUGAAGACUGAGAUAAAAACAUGUAUCACAGAGUGCGCUCCUGGGCCCCAUGCUUUUCUCAUUGUGCUUGAAGUGAAGAAAUUAACUGAGCAAGAACAGGCCAUCAUCACAAAAAUAAAACAAUACUUUUCUGAAGAAGGGUUGAAAUACGCAACAGUUCUCUUCACUCAUGGUGACCAGCUCGAUGCAGGACAGAAA